GCUCAGGAUUACGCUUGCGAUGUGCCUAAGGUAUGCAAGUCGAACGAUUCCUGUAUCUUCGGAUACAGGGAGUGGCAAACGGCUGAGUAACGCGUAGGAACCUACCCCAAACUCGAGUAUAGCCCCGCGAAAGCGGGGGUAAUCCUCGAUAGCCCGUGAAGUAUUUUACUUCACGGUAAAGCUUUUGCGGCUUGGGAUGGGCCUGCGUCCUAUCAGGUAGUUGGUGAGGUAAAUGCUCACCAAGCCUAUGACGGGUAGCUGGUCUGAGAGGAUGGUCAGCCAGACUGGGACUGCGACACGGCCCAGACUCCUACGGGAGGCAGCAACUAGGAAUUGUGCGCAAUGGACGAAAGUCUGACGCCGCGGCAUCGCGUGGAGGAUGAAGGUCUUCGGAUUGUAAACUCCUUUUCUUACCGAACAAGUUCUGAGUGUAGGUAAGGAAUAAGUGCCUGCUAACCACGUGCCAGAAGCAUCGGUAAUACGUGGGGCACGAGCGUUAUCCGGAUUUACUGGGCGUAAAGAGAAGCGUAGGCGGCUCAAUAAGUUUGGUGUUAAAUCUUCCGGCUCAACCGGAAACAAGUACCGAAGACUAUCGAGAUUGAGUCGAGUAGGGAAGAGGGGAAUUCCUGGUGGAGCGGUUAAAUGCGUAGAUAUCAGGAGGAAUACCAAGGGCGAAGGCACCUCUUUGGACUCGUACUGACGCUGAGGCUCGAAAGCGUGGGUAGCAAAACGGAUUAGAUACCCGUGUAGUCCACGCCGUAAACGAUCCCUGUUAGAUGU
rnacentral:rRNA from 1 species